CCAAGUAAGUUAAAUUUCGAGGACGAAAUUUUCUUUUAGUGGGUAGGGUUGUGACAGCCCGAACCCAUUUAAUUAUUUAAUUAUUUGUUUGAUUGCAUUAUUUAUAUUUUAACUAAUUUUAAAUCAUGAAAAGAAUAUUUAUAUAGCAUGUUCGUAAAAUAUAUAGUCGCGCCCCUAGUUAGAUAAAUACUUUUUAAAUUACAUGUUAUAAAUUUAUAACCUUAGCAAAUGGAAAAUUAUGAUCAAGAAUACUAAUUUUCUACAUUGGGCCUUAUGUGUAUUUUAAUUAUUUAUUUUUCCUUGGGCUGAAUGUAAGCCCAUAACAGCUUACGAAGUCAGGGCAAUAUGUAGCUAAGUUUAUUUUUCUCAGCCACAUAUUUAACUUUCAAAAAUCUUGAGAAGCAAGCAGAUCUUCCCAGCCACAAUUUUUAAUCCUUGCCGGCCACGUUUAAGCUUCCUCCUCAGUCAUUUUUUUCUCAAUUUUGUGCACCACAAAUUAUUCUUGUGCACUACGUAAUUCAGUUAGUAUAUAUACACUCCAUUUUUCCUUCUUUAUAAUUGCCCAGGAAUUCAACCAAACUCAACGUUUAUAAAUCAUUCUGUUUCUUGCUACUGCACAAAUUUCAACUGGUGCGGCGCGACUAGGAACGUGAACUUUAAAUUCUCGCAGUUAAUUUCAAGUUCAAGUUACAGGUGUGGGAUUUAUUUCAGUACAUGCUGUGGUUAAUCUUUGUCCAUUUUAAUAUUAUGUGUUUACCAUAUGUGAGUUGCAUUAAAUUAUAUCGCUAGGGGCCCGCUCAAUGGGUCCAGGACUUCACCGUCCUUGGUAUGCCACAAUGCGAUUUCAUGUUACAGUUAGGGUUGCAACCUAUUCGCCAGGGGCCUGCUCAAUGGGUCCAGGACUUUAAAGUCCUUGGUAUGCCACCGUGCGAAUUUCAGUUAUCAGUAUUACAGUGCAGUGCUUAUGUGUUGACCAUUUUAUUAACGUGGACAAUUAUUGCAUGUUCCCACACUGAGUAUAUUUCAUAUGCUCAUCCCAUAUUUAACAUUUUCAGGUAACUAAGGUUGGAGACGCGUGGAGGAUCGAAUGGGCGCGUCAAGGAUAUAUAUAUUUUGAAAAAUAUGAUGGCGUAGUUACAUCUAGCCUUUUGCUUGUAUAGUUUCAAAGUCUAAAACUACUUUUGAGAUUUUAAUAUAACUUAUCAG